CCGUGCACCCCGCCCCGGGGAUGCUUUCUCCCUAGCUUUUUGCGCCGUCCAGUUCUGCCCCAGCCUUAGAUCUCAGCUCUGAGCUGCCCUCACAUCCCUGCAGAUCUUUUCUGGCCACACUGGUGGCCCGCGGGGUCUGGCUGCUUCUGUCUCGUGGCGUUGGCCUCCCUGACUGGCCGCGGGUGUGGGGCGCCGUGGGCGGGGUCCCCGGGGCGAGGCUGCCUGGCCUCCGCGGUUGGUUCGGCGCCCGCGGGGCUGCAGCUCCCGGCUCGCACUCCAUCAUCGACGGAUGACAGCGGGAACGGUGGGAGUUCAUUACAGGGACCAUGAAUUGUUGGAGAGGAAUCUGAAGAAACAUGCUGGAUGUCCCUGGAGGAGGAGCUGAACCAUUUGAGUGGGGGCUUCACUGACUCCCCACACACAGGGCACUGGGGGAGAGCAGCCACAUGACCGGCAGGAUGUCAAGCAGUGCCCCCAAAAGCUGUCAAGGCCGUCCUAGACCAGUGGGGCCUCAGGAGAUGGUGCAGAGUCCCGGACCAGACAAACGGCACUGGGAAAGCAGGAACCCAAAGGAAGGCUGGAAUUCAGGGAAGAGCCACAUGCCAGGCUGUGACGAAGGUGACGAGAUGAAACCCCGGGGGGGGGGGGGUGGGGGAGGCAUCCGAACUCUAUGUGCUGUCUUUGCACUACUCUGUAAAUCUAAAAUUAUUCAGAAGUGAAAGUU